rnacentral:lncRNA from 1 species
ACCAUCUGGGAGUCGGGGCUGGCUUUAGCUCCAAACAUCCUUUCCAGGCUGCAUUUCCCCCUCGGAAUUCGCCUGGAGCUCAGCAGAUACCAUAAUUGAGGAAGGAGAAAGACACCAUACAGGACCAAGUACUGUUUUUUUUUAAUUUCUUUGUUUCAAGAGUUGCCAGGGUAAAAAAAAAUAAGAAACAAAAAAGAAAAAAAUAAUU